AAACGUAGGGUGCAAGCGUUGUCCGGAAUUACUGGGUGUAAAGGGUGCGUAGGCGGCUUUACAAGUCAGGCGUGAAAUAUAUGGGCUUAACCCAUAGACUGCGUUUGAAACUGUAGAGCUUGAGUGAAGUAGAGGUAGGCGGAAUUCCCGGUGUAGCGGUGAAAUGCGUAGAGAUCGGGAGGAACACCAGUGGCGAAGGCGGCCUACUGGGCUUUAACUGACGCUGAGGCACGAAAGCAUGGGUAACAAACAGGAUUAGAUACCCUGGUAGUCCAUGCCGUAAACGAUGAUUACUAGGUGUGGGGGGUCUGAACCCUUCCGUGCCGGAGUUAACACAAUAAGUAAUCCACCUGGGGAGUACGGCCGCAAGGUUGAA
rnacentral:rRNA from 1 species